UACACAUGCAGUCGAGCGGAAACGAGUUAUCUGAACCUUCGGGGAACGAUAACGGCGUCGAGCGGCGGACGGGUGAGUAAUGCCUAGGAAAUUGCCCUGAUGUGGGGGAUAACCAUUGGAAACGAUGGCUAAUACCGCAUGAUGCCUACGGGCCAAAGAGGGGGACCUUCGGGCCUCUCGCGUCAGGAUAUGCCUAGGUGGGAUUAGCUAGUUGGUGAGGUAAGGGCUCACCAAGGCGACGAUCCCUAGCUGGUCUGAGAGGAUGAUCAGCCACACUGGAACUGAGACACGGUCCAGACUCCUACGGGAGGCAGCAGUGGGGAAUAUUGCACAAUGGGCGCAAGCCUGAUGCAGCCAUGCCGCGUGUGUGAAGAAGGCCUUCGGGUUGUAAAGCACUUUCAGUCGUGAGGAAGGUAGUGUAGUUAAUAGCUGCAUUAUUUGACGUUAGCGACAGAAGAAGCACCGGCUAACUCCGUGCCAGCAGCCGCGGUAAUACGGAGGGUGCGAGCGUUAAUCGGAAUUACUGGGCGUAAAGCGCAUGCAGGUGGUUUGUUAAGUCAGAUGUGAAAGCCCGGGGCUCAACCUCGGAAUAGCAUUUGAAACUGGCAGACUAGAGUACUGUAGAGGGGGGUAGAAUUUCAGGUGUAGCGGUGAAAUGCGUAGAGAUCUGAAGGAAUACCGGUGGCGAAGGCGGCCCCCUGGACAGAUACUGACACUCAGAUGCGAAAGCGUGGGGAGCAAACAGGAUUAGAUACCCUGGUAGUCCACGCCGUAAACGAUGUCUACUUUGGAGGUUGUGGCCUUGAGCCGUGGCUUUCGGAGCUAACGCGUUAAGUAGACCGCCUGGGGGAGUACGGUCGCAAGAUUAAAACUCAAAUGAAUUGACGGGGGCCCGCACAAGCGGUGGAGCAUGUGGUUUAAUUCGAUGCAACGCGAAGAACCUUACCUACUCUUGACAUCCAGAGAACUUUCCAGAGAUGGAUUGGUGCCUUCGGGAACUCUGAGACAGGUGCUGCAUGGCUGUCGUCAGCUCGUGUUGUGAAAUGUUGGGUUAAGUCCCGCAACGAGCGCAACCCUUAUCCUUGUUUGCCAGCGAGUAAUGUCGGGAACUCCAGGGAGACUGCCGGUGAUAAACCGGAGGAAGGUGGGGACGACGUCAAGUCAUCAUGGCCCUUACGAGUAGGGCUACACACGUGCUACAAUGGCGCAUACAGAGGGCGGCCAACUUGCGAAAGUGAGCGAAUCCCAAAAAGUGCGUCGUAGUCCGGAUUGGAGUCUGCAACUCGACUCCAUGAAGUCGGAAUCGCUAGUAAUCGUGGAUCAGAAUGCCACGGUGAAUACGUUCCCGGGCCUUGUACACACCGCCCGUCACACCAUGGGAGUGGGCUGCAAAAGAAGUAGGUAGUUUAACCUUCGGGGGGACGC
rnacentral:rRNA from 1 species